GUGCCAGCAGCCGCGGUAACACGGAAGCCCCGAGCGUUGUUCGGAUUCAUUGGGCGUAAAGGGUGCGUAGGCGGCGCGGAAAGUCCGGCGUGAAAGGCAGAGGCUCAACCUCUGGACUGCGUUGGAUACUUCCGUGCUUGAGGACUGGAGGGGAGACUGGAAUUCACGGUGUAGCAGUGAAAUGCGUAGAUAUCGUGAGGAAGACCGGUGGCGAAGGCGAGUCUCUGGACAGAUCCUGACGCUGAGGCACGAAGGCUGGGGGAGCGAACAGGAUUAGAUACCCUGGUAGUCCCAGCAGUAAACGAUGUGAGCUUGAUGUGGGGGGAUUCGACCCCUUCCGUGUCGAAGCUAACGCGAUAAGCUCACCGCCUGAGGAGUACGGCCGCAAGGCUAAAACUCAAAGAAAUUGACGGGGACCCGCACAAGCGGUGGAGUAUGUGGCUUAAUUCGAUGCAACGCGAAGAACCUUACCUGGCCUUGACAUGCAUUGUGUCGUCGGUGAAAGCCGGCUAGUCCUGGAAACAGGACGCUUUGCACAGGUGCUGCAUGGCUGUCGUCAGCUCGUGUCGUGAGAUGUUGGGUUAAGUCCCGCAACGAGCGCAACCCUUGUGGUCAGUUACUAACCGGCUUAGCCGGAGGACUCUGGCCAGACUGCCCUGUCAAACGGGGAGGAAGGUGGGGACGACGUCAAGUCAGUAUGGCCCUUAUGGCCAGGGCUGCACACGUACUACAAUGCCCGGUACAAUGUGAACCGAAACCGCGAGGUGGAGGAAAUCGCUCUUGAAAACCGGGCCCAGUUCGGAUUGGAGUCUGCAACUCGACUCCAUGAAGUCGGAAUCGCUAGUAAUGGCG
rnacentral:rRNA from 1 species